GAGCGGAGAGAAGUAGCUUGCUACUGAUCUUAGCGGCGGACGGGUGAGUAAUACUUAGGAAUCUGGCUAUUAGUGGGGGACAACAUUUCGAAAGGGAUGCUAAUACCGCAUACGUCCUACGGGAGAAAGCAGGGGAUCUUCGGACCUUGCGCUAAUAGAUGAGCCUAAGUCGGAUUAGCUAGUUGGUGGGGUAAAGGCCUACCAAGGCGACGAUCUGUAGCGGGUCUGAGAGGAUGAUCCGCCACACUGGGACUGAGACACGGCCCAGACUCCUACGGGAGGCAGCAGUGGGGAAUAUUGGACAAUGGGGGGAACCCUGAUCCAGCCAUGCCGCGUGUGUGAAGAAGGCCUUAUGGUUGUAAAGCACUUUAAGCGAGGAGGAGGGUACUGGUAUUAAUACUACCAGGUACUGGACGUUACUCGCAGAAUAAGCACCGGCUACCUCUGUG
rnacentral:rRNA from 1 species